AGUUGAUCGCAAAAAGCCUCGAGUUUGCCUUCAAACUCAAAAUCGAAACAUCUGGCACGUGGCAUUCAUGCAUUCGAUUGGUCAGACAUACCACGUGUCCUACCAUUACAACCAAUCACACACUACAGUUAGUGUAUGACGUAGGUCCCAUCAGCCUCUGUGUGUUACGUAAUUCAAUUGCCUAAUAACCUGAGUCACUCAUUUCUAGUUCACGUUGCGUAACAUUGUCCUUUCUCUUACGUAAUCAAAGUACGUAAGUUUCGCUCUAAGGUUUGUCUGUUACGACGAUAACACCUCGUGGCUACACCUCACCCUGCCUUACGUCACCGUCAUGACGUGAACGGCCACGUGACUAUCUGACUCUUCCAGGCUCGCAUUCUGUCUGCGUCGUGCUAGUUUGAGUACAAUCUUUUUUAUAUUUCAUUCACAAUGAGUUUCUCUGUGAUACUGCGGGAUUUAGAUGAAGAAAAGGAGAGGGCAAUUCGUCAGCUGUUUGAAAGAAUGGCUGGUCCUAUAAUGCUGAACGACUCCCACACCAAACUUCGAGAAAACGAGGAAGAUACCCAGUGAAUAAGGAUACGCGGGAUGGCGAUGUACUGGCCAUUGAGGGUGGAGAAACUUUGCCCCCCGGACCAGGUGCGGCACCUGAAUGUCCACACUGCUUCCAAGCACCUUGUAUAACAUCAGGAGCUCGCGACGUAGAGUUCAUCGGGAAGGGACAGGCGGCUUGUCCUCAAAAUCGAGGUAUUCGGAAUAGGAUCUACACAAGGUAUUGGAAAAUGCUAGACUUUGUUGGACUCUGGAAGGACAAGAGAUACCUAGUUAGAAAAACCGCUUUGGCAGAAGGUGAAUGGGUGCUGUGCCACAGGCGUGAAGUGAUGCCCACUUGCGUCGUUCAAAAAGUACGGACACUGUACCCAAACCCAGAUGGAGUGCCGUAUGUCGGUCACCAAUGGGAAUAAAAAAAAAACUAAACGAGAGGAAUAAAAACUAAGUUUAAAAAUUCCA